UCCGGUUUGUCACCGGCAGUCUCGCAUGAGUCCCCGCCAUCACGCGCUGGCAACACAGAACGAGGGUUGCGCUCGUUGCGGGACUUAACCCAACAUCUCACGACACGAGCUGACGACAACCAUGCACCACCUGUGCAGGACCCUUGCGGACCCCCCAUCUCUGGAGGAUUUCCCUGCAUGUCAAGCCUUGGUAAGGCUCUUCGCGUUGCGUCGAAUUAAGCCACAUGCUCCGCUGCUUGUGCGGGCCCCCGUCAAUUCCUUUGAGUUUCAACCUUGCGGCCGUAGUCCCCAGGCGGUUCACUUAAUGCGUUAGCUGCGGCACCGAGGAUUACUCCCCGACACCUAGUGAACAUCGUUUAGGGCGUGGACUAC
rnacentral:misc_RNA from 1 species